CAGUAGCCGCGGUAAUACCGAGGGUGCGAGCGUUAAUCGGAUUUACUGGGCGUAAAGCGUGCGUAGGCGGCUUCUUAAGUCGGAUGUGAAAUCCCUGAUCUUAACUUAGGAAUUGCAUUCGAUACUGGGAAGCUAGAGUAUGGGAGAGGAUGGUAGAAUUCCAGGUGUAGCGGUGAAAUGCGUAGAGAUCUGGAGGAAUACCGAUGGCGAAGGCAGCCAUCUGGCCUAAUACUGACGCUGAGGUACGAAAGCAUGGGGAGCAAACAGGAUUAGAUACCCCCGUAGUCCCUGUCUCUUAUAC
rnacentral:rRNA from 1 species